UUUGAUAACAAGCCUAUCAUAAAUAGUUUUGCCCUACUUUCAUAAAUAUUUUAUUCAAUAGAGGUAUAAACGAUAUUUUAAAACAAUAGUAAUAUUAAAUUAUUGUUAUUCUCAACACUAUCAAAUCCACAUUUUAAUUAUAAAAGAGUACUCAUACCAUGUGAAUAGGAAUCACCCUAUGACGUAUCUCCAUUAACCGGGAGUACGACGUAUUCAAAUACUAUACAACUCUGCAGUGUAUGCCCAGCUUUACCCGCACGAUAUCCACAGUUUGCAAGGCUGUAAAUAACAUAACAUAAUACUGCCCCAAGUUCAUCUAAGAUCCACCUAGUGGCUUAAAGGAUUUGUGGCUGUUGGCCUCGUCCCGAACGCAGAGGGUGUGUGUUCCAACCCGACACAACUUCCACCCACUAUUGAGCGUCUCAGAGGCACAUCAGCUCCUCCUGACCUCUUUUGGGUAUACACAGUACCCUGGGUACACGCAGCACCCUCACUCAACAAUUCUCACCAACAGUCAGUGGUCAGUACACACCUAAGGCCGAUAUUGCUAUAUACACCGAUAGGCUGCAGAUCAUCAAUUCACUGGAGCAGCAUACGCUAAGUUCGAAUAUCUCGAUCAUGCGGAUGGGCGCAAUUACAUCGCUUCACAUGGCAUAAGAAAAUUAUUCAAAAUAUCAUCUUUACUCAGAAUUAACCUCCAUAUCACUUCGAACGAGUGAUUCAUAUCAAGACACAUUUUAUACAGGGUUUUGGUGGUAUUACCCACUAUAAUAUUAAUCUGAUGUAAUAUACAACCUAUACCUAGGUUAUCAGAGAACAUGAUAUGGUAGUUUAUGGUAUUGGCAAUGAUAUUAAAUUAAGUAUAGGGCAAUAACUAAUAUAACAAGAUUAUUUGAAAAUAAUGGUACGCCAAAAUAACUUUGCAAGUAAAUAAUGCAAAAAUAACUAAGUGGUUCUCUACUUAGGUUCUCAAGUUGAUCAAGGAUAGAUUAAUGACUUGCCUUGCAAUAUGUGGUUCUCUGGGGGCUUCAACAUAGCCAUCUGGGUCCACAUCAGCUCCUACGGCAACCUGAUAAACUCCUCUUCUAUACGACCUAGCGCACGCACACAAGAACGGACAAUAAACAAAACUAUAAAACUAAAGCUAUAAAUAAACAAUAAAAUAACAACGAAAGAGAUAAUGAUUGGAUAAUUAAUGGAAGGGAUUUAGAAGACUUUUAAACUGACAUAGGAUCAAGAUUAUGAUUGUAUAUCUAGACGAUUAUGGUCUAGAAUUAGAAUGGUAUAUGAUAGUGAUUAGAAGUAAAAGAUAUCAAAAGAAUGUGUUAUGAUUUUAUGUGGCUUCGCAUAUUGCGAGAUUGAUUUAAUUACCACAUAAUAAAGAUUGAGUAUAACUCGAGACAAGGGUUGAUUCGAAUGAAAGAUAGUAUGAAUAGACAAUGGCUGGUUGAAGUUUAGAAUUUACUAAGCCAUUGGAUAGGAAUGAUAGUUUAAACUUUAGAUGGGAGAGACCAUAACUUAGUGUGUCGAAAAAGAAGAUGAUAAGUCAGACGAGAUUAUUUUGUGGUAAACAACACAAACUUGGAUUUAAGAAGAUGUCGAUAGCUGGAUUACUGUAUAAGUUGUGAAAUCAAUGUCGUAUGACAGUUUGAAGCAACGGUUCGAAAGAAUAUUUUGACAUAUUGGAGGAUGGAUGGAUCCAAAUAGGUUUGAGCUGUUUCAAAGAAUAAUAUUAGGGUCAAAGGUCCGGAUAGGUUUAGGGCUUAUAAUAGCGGAUGGUAAUAGUGGAAGCUAGGAGUAUAUGGUGGGGUAGUUAUGCUAUGAUCGUAUGUGGUUUCAUAAGAUGAGCGAGUGAUUUAAUGCGUUAAACACCAAGUCAUCCAAAAUAUUGUCAUGGACAUGGAAAUUGAUACAGAUAAAGGAAUAUAAAUGGGUACAUUCGGUAAAUGGUUAUGGAUGAUUAAAUAGGAAACAAUAUUAACUAUAUGAAUUGCGCACGCAUUUAAAAUUAAAAUGCGUAUUGAAAGAGAAUAAAUGAAUCAGGUAUGGUUGGCUCGAAUUAAAGGGGUGGUUAGACAAUGAUGGUAGACUGCUGAGUUGUUGAAUUAAAUCAAUAACUCAAUUUAUACAUGGUUUAGUGUAUAAGAAUAAAAGAAUGUAGGAAUUAAAUGAGGUUGGGUCAAAAUAAAUAACAUGAAAUCGACGUUUCAAAUAUCGUCGAUAUAUUAGGAUAAACUUUAGAUUUGACUACAUAAUUAUUUAGUAUAGCAGAGUGACUAACCAAAUAAUAAUAUAACGAGUCAAAGAUCAAGUUGAUUUCGAGUGGUUUCGCCGGUACUAAAGAAUAGUAACCCUAGGAUUAAAAUUAAGGUUUUGACUUCGGAGUCCUGGAUGGCGACGAAACUAUGGCCGUUGAAUUUGGAAUGACUCAAAGAGUCGGAUAAUGGUUUCAGAUUUUAAAUCCGAGAUUUAAAGGUCAAAGAAUUAUUUAAAUCAGAUAAAAUAAUUUUUGGAUUUAUUUUGAAUAGAAAAAGAAAUUAGGUGGACUCCAAUUAUUUUAUUUUCUUUCUCCCAUUUAUUUAUUUAUUUAUUAUUUUCUUUUCUCCUCUCCUCUCCUCUCCUCUCCUUUUCUCUUUUUUUUCUUUUUCUUUUUCCUCUUUUUUUUCCCCUCCUUUCUCUCUUCUCCCUUUUUCUUUCCGUGCGUUCUGUUCCUUUCCUCUUUCUCGUUCUUUCUUUUCUCUCACAGAGGAGGAGCGGCCAUGGGAGAUGGGCGCCGGAAGCAGGAGGUGGCCGGCUCCGGCCAAGGGGCGCCGGAUCCAGGACCAGGGAUUCGAGGGGAACCCAUUCCCCUAGGUGGAGGCGGCUGCAGCGCCGGCGAGUAGGCUUGCGGCGGCGACCAGUUCAGGAUAGCGAUGGCGACCAUGGAGGUGCCGAUUCCGGCGAGCUUCGGUGGGGGCAGGGGCUGGGGAAGGUCCAGGAAAGGGUUUCAAGGCUUUCUGCAGCCUCAGCCGAGGCCGGGACGGCCGGGAGCAGCGGCGCGACGUGCGCCGGGAGGGGGAGAACAGGGGAGCGACGGGCGGCGGCGACGCCGGUGGGUUCCGGCGGUGAUUUUGGCUCGGGAAAAUGAGGGGAAAGAAUAACACGAGCAUGGAGAAGGUGAUGGAUACCUUGAUUUGGAAGAAGAGACAACGAGGUUGACGAAUUUCUCAAGAACGGCGCCG
rnacentral:lncRNA from 1 species